CGAGAUAACGGCUUAGUUAUUACGGGGCAGCCGGGCACAUAUAUCCAACCGAUCCAUGGACCCCAAGCUAGCGCCGGGGCUAGCUAAGAGAUGCUAGGCAUCCAUUUGCUCGUGAUCUUGACUUUCUUUUUCAUGUGUGGCUUAGUGGUUGAUGCGAUCAACCUCCCCAUACUCGUCGUAUAUGUAAUGCCGGAUAAGAUCUGCUAUGAUUCUCGCUGCGUGGUGAGGAUGUCCAGCGAAAGAAGCACCCGAUACUGCUACACAAGUAACGUAAGAGAAAAAAAAAAAUCACCGCUCAGGUUUUCACUUGUCUGAAUCCCUUUGUUCUGCUUGUACGCCACCUGCUCUGACACCAGAUUCCCAUCACGUUUUACGGCUUCCUGGUUACUUAACCAACUAACCAAUCUAACAGGAAACUGGGAAGGCUGGCCCACGACUUUGCAGCUCUCAGAGUACGUACAUCUUUCCCGGUCAAAAUACUUUUGGGCAUCGCUUUCUGGAGGAGCUGCCUCCAUCCCAUUCUUACGAGGACGGACGAGGGCCGCUAACAGGCGCAUAAUCAAUUGUCUAAUCCAGGGUGGGGAGAGCUGUUUCUCAUUAAUUAAAACAAACGAUCCCGUGUGUUCCGUGUUACUUAAAGCAUCCGCGCCCACCCAAGCCAGGUUCUCAGCACGCUGCCCAUGCCAAAGAUACGGUACGUCGGAGCUAGUACUGCUGCAUGCGCGACCAGUCCUUUCCACGACGGAAGGGGGAAAGAAGCAGCAGUCAAUUCAAAUGAUCAACUGAAUCUUCCGCCAUAAGCCGGCACGACCGGCACGGCCAACGGAAGAAAGAAACGUUUUACGUGUG
rnacentral:lncRNA from 1 species